rnacentral:rRNA from 1 species
AUGGGCGCAAGCCUGAUGCAGCGACGCCGCGUGAGGGAUGACGGCCUUCGGGUUGUAAACCUCUUUCAGUAGGGAAGAAGCGAAAGUGACGGUACCUGCAGAAGAAGCGCCGGCUAACUACGUGCCAGCAGCCGCGGUAAUACGUAGGGCGCAAGCGUUAUCCGGAAUUAUUGGGCGUAAAGAGCUCGUAGGCGGUUUGUCGCGUCUGCCGUGAAAGUCCGGGGCUCAACUCCGGAUCUGCGGUGGGUACGGGCAGACUAGAGUGAUGUAGGGGAGACUGGAAUUCCUGGUGUAGCGGUGAAAUGCGCAGAUAUCAGGAGGAACACCGAUGGCGAAGGCAGGUCUCUGGGCAUUAACUGACGCUGAGGAGCGAAAGCAUGGGGAGCGAACAGGAUUAGAUACCCUGGUAGUCCAUGCCGUAAACGUUGGGCACUAGGUGUGGGGGACAUUCCACGUUUUCCGCGCCGUAGCUAACGCAUUAAGUGCCCCGCCUGGGGAGUACGGCCGCAAGGCUAAAACUCAAAGGAAUUGACGGGGGCCCGCACAAGCGGCGGAGCAUGCGGAUUAAUUCGAUGCAACGCGAAGAACCUUACCAAGGCUUGACAUGGACCGGACCGCCGCAGAAAUGUGGUUUCCCCUUUGGGGCCGGUUUACAGGUGGUGCAUGGUUGUCGUCAGCUCGUGUCGUGAGAUGUUGGGUUAAGUCCCGCAACGAGCGCAACCCUCGUUCUAUGUUGCCAGCGGUUCGGCCGGGGACUCAUAGGAGACUGCCGGGGUCAACUCGGAGGAAGGUGGGGACGACGUCAAAUCAUCAUGCCCCUUAUGUCUUGGGCUUCACGCAUGCUACAAUGGCCGGUACAAAGGGUUGCGAUACUGUGAGGUGGAGCUAAUCCCAAAAAGCCGGUCUCAGUUCGGAUUGGGGUCUGCAACUCGACCCCAUGAAGUCGGAGUCGCUAGUAAUCGCAGAUCAGCAACGCUGCGGUGAAUACGUUCCCGGGCCUUGUACACACCGCCCGUCAAGUCACGAAAGUUGGUAACACCCGAAGCCGGU